GUUUCUGUAGUGCAAUGGAUAGCGCAUUGGACUUCCAAUCCAAAGAUUGUGGGUUCAAAUCACACCUGAAAUG
rnacentral:tRNA from 1 species